GACCGCCUGGGGAGUACGGCCGCAAGGUUAAAACUCAAAUGAAUUGACGGGGGCCCGCACAAGCGGUGGAGCAUGUGGUUUAAUUCGAUGCAACGCGAAGAACCUUACCUACUCUUGACAUCCAGAGAACUUUCCAGAGAUGGAUUGGUGCCUUCGGGAACUCUGAGACAGGUGCUGCAUGGCUGUCGUCAGCUCGUGUUGUGAAAUGUUGGGUUAAGUCCCGCAACGAGCGCAACCCUUAUCCUUUGUUGCCAGCGGUCCGGCCGGGAACUCAAAGGAGACUGCCAGUGAUAAACUGGAGGAAGGUGGGGAUGACGUCAAGUCAUCAUGGCCCUUACGAGUAGGGCUACACACGUGCUACAAUGGCGCAUACAAAGAGAAGCGACCUCGCGAGAGCAAGCGGACCUCAUAAAGUGCGUCGUAGUCCGGAUUGGAGUCUGCAACUCGACUCCAUGAAGUCGGAAUCGCUAGUAAUCGUGGAUCAGAAUGCCACGGUGAAUACGUUCCCGGGCCUUGUACACACCGCCCGUCACACCAUGGGAGUGGGUUGCAAAAGAAGUAGGUAGCUUAACCUUCGGGAGGGCGCUUACCACUUUGUGAUUCAUGACUGGGGUGAAGUCGUAACAAGGUAACCGUAGGGGAACCUGCGGUUG
rnacentral:rRNA from 1 species